rnacentral:rRNA from 1 species
AAUGGGGGAAACCCUGACGCAGCGACGCCGCGUGAGUGAUGAAGGCCUUCGGGUCGUAAAGCUCUGUUGUAAGGGAAAAAGUUCUGAUUGUACCUUGCGAGAAAGGAUCGGCUAACUUCGUGCCAGCAGCCGCGGUAAGACGAGGGAUCCUAGCGUUGUUCGGAAUCAUUGGGCGUAAAGCGGGUGUAGGUGGCUUUGUAAGUCAGAUGUGAAAGCCCAGGGCUCAACCCUGGAAGUGCAUUUGAUACUGCUUAGCUUGAGUGUGGGAGAGGCUACUGGAAUUCCUGGUGUAGUGGUGAAAUACGUAGAUAUCAGGAGGAAUACCGGAGGCGAAGGCGGGUAGCUGGCCCAACACUGACACUGAGACCCGAAAGCGUGGGGAUCAAA